rnacentral:rRNA from 1 species
CAGUCGCCGCGGGAAUACAGAGGAUGCAAGCGUUACCCGGAAUGAUUGGGCGUAAAGCGUCUGUAGGUGGCUUUUCAAGUCCGCCGUCAAAUCCCAGGGCUCAACCCUGGACAGGCGGUGGAAACUACCAAGCUGGAGUACGGUGGGGGCAGAGGGAAUUUCCGGUGGAGCGGUGAAAUGCGUUGAGAUGUGGAGGAACACCAGUGGCGAAGGCGACUCUCUGGUCUGUAACUGACGCUGAGGAGCGAAAGCGUGGGGAGCGAACGGGAUUAGAUACCCCCGUAGUCCCUGUCUCUUAUAA